rnacentral:rRNA from 1 species
AAAUUUACACCGUAACUUCGGGAGAAGGUGUGCCGCUGGCGGUUAGUGACUCCGCGUCACGAAGCUGUUGGUGGUCGCAGUGAAAUGGCGGUUGUGACUGUUUACUAAAAACACAGGACUCUGCGAAGUCGUAAGACGACGUAUAGGGUCUGAUGCCUGCCCGGUGCUGGAAGGUUAAGGGGAUAUGUCAGCGCAAGCGAAGCAUUGAACCGAAGCCCCAGUAAACGGCGGCCGUAACGAUAACGGUCCUAAGGUAGCGAAAUUCCUUGUCGGGUAAGUUCCGACCUGCACGAGGGCAUAACAACAUCCGCACUGUCUCGACCAGGGACUCAGCGAAAUUACAUUGGGGGUGAAGAUGCCCUCUACCCGCGGAAAGACGGAAAGACCCCAUGAACCUUUACUGCAACUUGGCAGUGAUUUUCGGGUUGUUCUGCGUAGGAUAGGUGGGAGUCUUUGAAGCCGGGCUUCCGGGUUCGGCAGAGCCAACGUUGAAAUACCACCCUGAAUAAUCUGGAAAUCUAACCUGCGCCCAUGAUCUGGGCGAGGGACACUGCCUGGUGGGCAGUUUGACUGGGGCGGUCGCCUCCUAAAUUGUAACGGAGGCGUGCGACGGUUCCCUCAGGCUGAUUGGAAACCAGCCGUAGAGUGCAAACGCAUAAGGGAGCUUUACUGCGAGACUGACAAGUCGACCAGUUGCGAAAGCAGGUGUUAGUGAUCCGGUGGUACCACAUGGAAGGGCCAUCGCUCAUCGGAUAAAAGGUACUCUGGGGAUAACAGGCUGAUCGCGCCUGAGAGUUCACAUCGGCGGCGCGGUUUGGCACCUCGAUGUCGGCUCAUCGCAUCCUGGGGCUGGAGCAGGUCCCAAGGGUUUGGCUGUUCGCCAAUUAAAGCGGUACGCGAGCUGGGUUUAAAACGUCGUGAGACAGUUUGGUCCCUAUCUUCCGUGGGCGCAGGACACUUGAGAGGAGCUAUCCAUAGUACGAGAGGACCUGGAUGGACGAACCUCUGGUGCUCCGGUUGUCACGCCAGUGGCAUAGCCGGGUAGCCAUGUUCGGAACAGAUAACCGCUGAAGGCAUAUAAGCGGGAAGCUGGCCUCAAGACUAGGUGUCCCUGACGCAAGUCACUAAAGGCCCCUCGAAGACUACGAGGUUGAUAGGCUAGGUGUGGAAGCGCUGCGAGGCGCGGAGCUAACUAGUACUUAUAGGCCGUGCGACUUGACCCC